rnacentral:lncRNA from 1 species
UUUACACGCACGAGCCUAGUUAUCAUAUAAUAAGCAUAUAUAUAACUAAUUAGACAAAUAAUAACUUAAAUAAAUAAGUUAAGACACUUAGAAAACAUUUAAACACUUUUAUGAGUGUUUAAGGUUCAAAUGGUUGCAUCUAAGUUGCUACGGGACAAGGAAAAAGGGUUUGAAUCAUCAAAGGGCCUUGUACAGGAGUUCACCACCCAACAAACCCCUUACCUUGGAGUUUACGGCCNNNNNNNNNNNNNNNNNNNNNNNNNNNNNNNNNNNNNNNNNNNNNNNNNNNNNNNNNNNNNNNNNNNNNNNNNNNNNNNNNNNNNNNNNNNNNNNNNNNNUCAAUAGUAAAGCAGUUGAAAAACAGUUUGAACAGUGGUGAAAAUGGUUGUUUUACUUGUUAUUAAUCACAUGUGAUUAAACACAAUCACAUGUGAUGGAAGCAAUAACUUAUAAGUAUUAGACUUGUAUUCCCCCCCCCAUAAAGUGUUAUAAAACAUUUAAAAUCAUUUCAAAGGUUGAUUCAAGGGGUAUGAACUCACUUGUGGUGAGUCGUUUGAAUUGCAGUGUCGGCUACCGUGCUAGGUGACAAACGGAGACUGGUUUACACGCACGAGCCUAGUUAUCAUAUAAUAAGCAUAUAUAUAACUAAUUAGACAUAUAAUAACUUAAAUAAAUAAGUUAAGACACUUAGAAAACAUUUAAACACUUUUAUGAGUGUUUAAGGUUCAAAUGGUUGCAUCUAAGUUGCUACGGGACAAGGCAAAAGGGUUUGAAUCAUCAAAGGGCCUUGUAUAGGAGUUCACCAUCCAACAAACCCCACACCUUGGAGUUUACGGCCGUAAACUCAUAGGUUUAUGGCCGUGAACUCCUCAAAUGGUGUUUUUGGGUGUUUUGUGGUGUUAUCUUGCAUCUAGAACACUCCUAUCUUUAUUGGAAUAAUGCAUGAAGUAGUUUUAAGGCUCUAGAACACUCCAUAAGGGAGUUUACGGCCUAAGGUCCUUCACCUUAGAGUUUACGGCCGUAAACUCUAGGAAAUUAAUUGAUUUGAGGCACUUAAACAUCAAGAAUGGCAUCCAUGAAUUUAUCUAAGGCUAAUGGGGACAAGAGGCACACUUUGGUGCCUUCACUUGGAGUUUACGGCCCAAGUCAUGUUCCUUGGCCGUAAACUCCUUUCAAGGAGUGGUUUCUAUGUGUUCUACUCUCCAUUCUAGUCCCAAAGGUGCAAGGUAAAUUGUCUAAAGGCUUAAGGGUAGCUUGGAAUGAUUUUUGUCCCACAAAAUGGGGUUUACGGCCCAAGAAGGGUUCUUGGCCGUAAACUCCUAAAAACUUAUGGUUUUUAUGGGCUUUUGAUGUUCUAAACAAGCACAAGCACUAGUAGGUAAAGUCCUUAAGCAUUUGGGGAAAGUUUUAGGGCAUUUAAGCCCUUGAAAAGGGGUUUACGGCCCAAGGGAGUUCCUUGGCCGUAAACUCCUAGAACUUGUGUUUCUGGGAUGCUUUUUGGCCUAUAAAGAUCAUAUCCUAACUCCUAAACAAGUUGUCUAACAAGGAAUCGGGACUAGGAAGCCAUAAUGUUCCAUUUUGGAGUUUACUCCCCAAGAACGUUCUUGGGCGGUAAACUCCCGGAUCUUGAUAUCUAGACAUGCAAUUGAUGUUAAUAAACACCUAACAAGUAUUGAAUCACAUAUAGAAAAGUAGACUCACAAUCUGGGAUGAAAACCCGAAGAUCCGUCAGAGAGAAUAUGGCUUUUCUCUAUUUGGAAUUGUGAAUAAUGAAUUAAUUUAAUUCAGAAAACUAUUUAUAGUCCUGGAAUAUUUUGGCAGAAAAUAUUUUUAUUCCUGAUGUUGGACUGUAACAGUAUGAAACUUGAAAUGCCCAAGUUUCACAAAACCAGGAGUAUCCACUAUCUUGAUAUCAUCUAAAACAUAAACCCUAAUGUACACAAACUUGUUCGAAAAAGCUUGAAAAUCACUGAAACAGAGCUAGCUUCUAUUGAAUAGAUGAUGUUCAUACAAUGGAAAUUUCGGGUUGUCACAACGAAGAACACAUAGAAUUGGAUGAAGAGGAUGACUCCGGUACCAACUUCAAGCCGGAAG